rnacentral:lncRNA from 1 species
AUUUACAUAAUCUUCUAACAUCUUCUUGGGUUCCCAGCUAUACACUGAGUUGCUGAGUCUACCAACAGCCUUGUCAUGUGAGACAAGGUGAAUUACAUAACUGCAUCAUAAUCUACUUACUACUUCGUGAAAACUUCACUCCAGAUCUGAAUCCCAGUGGUUUCUGGAUCAGAUCCCCCUCUCCAGGAAAAUCCUGUUAACGGUUCUUCUGGGUCACCCAACCAAUUUGAAUGGCCACUUUCCUUCUACAGAAGUAAGAAAUUUCCAUUAAAUCUUAAAUUAAAAAUUUUAUGCAUCAAGGAU